rnacentral:rRNA from 1 species
AUUGAACGCUGGCGGCAGGCCUAACACAUGCAAGUCGAGCGGGGUUUUCGGACCUAGCGGCGGACGGGUGAGUAAUGCGUAGGAAGCUACCCGAUAGAGGGGGAUACCAGUUGGAAACGACUGUUAAUACCGCGUAAUGUCUACGGACCAAAGUGUGGGACCUUCGGGCCACAUGCUAUCGGAUGCGCCUACGUGGGAUUAGCUAGUUGGUGGGGUAAUGGCUCACCAAGGCGACGAUCCCUAACUGGUUUGAGAGGAUGAUCAGCCACACUGGAACUGAGACACGGUCCAGACUCCUACGGGAGGCAGCAGUGGGGAAUAUUGGACAAUGGGCGCAAGCUUGAUCCAGCCAUGCCGCGUGUGUGAAGAAGGCCUUCGGGUUGUAAAGCACUUUCAGUAGGGAGGAAGGGUGUUGUGUUAAUAGCACAGCAUUUUGACGUUACCUACAGAAGAAGCACCGGCUAACUCUGUGCCAGCAGCCGCCGCCGUAA